rnacentral:sRNA from 19 species
UGAUACCAGGGUCAAAAGGGUAUGCGUUUCAUGCUUGUAUGAAAAAGCAGGGCUUUGGGACCCAUAAAACAUGAGAAAGCAGCCCGAUUAGGGCGGAUUUCGAAUGUUUUUAGGAUUGUGGGAGCACAAAGUGCGGAACAAUCCGCAGGUAUCU